rnacentral:rRNA from 1 species
UAAUAGCUCACUGGUCGAGUCGGCCUGCGCGGAAGAUGUAACGGGGCUAAACCAUGCACCGAAGCUGCGGCAGCGACACUAUGUGUUGUUGGGUAGGGGAGCGUUCUGUAAGCCUGCGAAGGUGUACUGUGAGGUAUGCUGGAGGUAUCAGAAGUGCGAAUGCUGACAUAAGUAACGAUAAAGCGGGUGAAAAGCCCGCUCGCCGGAAGACCAAGGGUUCCUGUCCAACGUUAAUCGGGGCAGGGUGAGUCGACCCCUAAGGCGAGGCCGAAAGGCGUAGUCGAUGGGAAACAGGUUAAUAUUCCUGUACUUGGUGUUACUGCGAAGGGGGGACGGAGAAGGCUAUGUUGGCCGGGCGACGGUUGUCCCGGUUUAAGCGUGUAGGCUGGUUUUCCAGGCAAAUCCGGAAAAUCAAGGCUGAGGCGUGAUGACGAGGCACUACGGUGCUGAAGCAACAAAUGCCCUGCUUCCAGGAAAAGCCUCUAAGCAUCAGGUAACAUCAAAUCGUACCCCAAACCGACACAGGUGGUCAGGUAGAGAAUACCAAGGCGCUUGAGAGAACUCGGGUGAAGGAACUAGGCAAAAUGGUGCCGUAACUUCGGGAGAAGGCACGCUGAUAUGUAGGUGAAGUCCCUCGCGGAUGGAGCUGAAAUCAGUCGAAGAUACCAGCUGGCUGCAACUGUUUAUUAAAAACACAGCACUGUGCAAACACGAAAGUGGACGUAUACGGUGUGACGCCUGCCCGGUGCCGGAAGGUUAAUUGAUGGGGUUAGCGCAAGCGAAGCUCUUGAUCGAAGCCCCGGUAAACGGCGGCCGUAACUAUAACGGUCCUAAGGUAGCGAAAUUCCUUGUCGGGUAAGUUCCGACCUGCACGAAUGGCGUAAUGAUGGCCAGGCUGUCUCCACCCGAGACUCAGUGAAAUUGAACUCGCUGUGAAGAUGCAGUGUACCCGCGGCAAGACGGAAAGACCCCGUGAACCUUUACUAUAGCUUGACACUGAACAUUGAGCCUUGAUGUGUAGGAUAGGUGGGAGGCUUUGAAGUGUGGACGCCAGUCUGCAUGGAGCCGACCUUGAAAUACCACCCUUUAAUGUUUGAUGUUCUAACGUUGGCCCCUAAUCGGGGUUGCGGACAGUGUCUGGUGGGUAGUUUGACUGGGGCGGUCUCCUCCUAAAGAGUAACGGAGGAGCACGAAGGUU